AGGUAGGGAUACCCGCUGAACUUAAGCAUAUCAAUAAGCGGAGGAAAAGAAACCAACAGGGAUUGCCCUAGUAACGGCGAGUGAAGCGGCAAAAGCUCAGAUUUGGAAUCUGGCGUCAUUGUGGCGUCCGAGUUGUAGUCUGAAGAGGGGAAUUCAAGUGUAGCUUUGGCUUAAGUUCCUUGGAACAGGACGUCAUAGAGGGUGAGAACCCCGUUAAUGGCCUUUGUCUUAUGCUUAUGUGAAUCUCCUUCAAUGAGUCGAGUUGUUUGGGAAUGCAGCUCUAAAUGGGUGGUAAAUUCCAUCUAAAGCUAAAUACUGGCAAGAGACCGAUAGCGCACAAGUAGAGUGAUCGAAAGAUGAAAAGAACUCUGAACAGAGAGUUAAAUAGUACGUGAAAUUGUUGAAAGGGAAGCACUUGUAACCAGACACGCUUGCAGCUGAUCAAUUCUGAUUUUUGAGGAUGCACUCAGUUGUUAGCGAGCCAACAUCAGUCAUGGUGACAGGAAAAAGACCAAGGAAAGGUAGCUCCUUUCGGGGAGUGUUAUAGUCCUGGGUGUAAUGCUGCCUACUAUGAUUGAGGACCGCGCUUUGGCGAGGAUGUUGGCAUAAUGGUUUUAAGUGACCCGUCUUGAAACACGGACCAAGGAGUCUAACAUCUAUGCGAGUGUUUGGGUGUUGAAACCCUUUCGCGAAAUGAAAGUGAAUGGAGGUGGGAACCGCAAGGUGCACCAUCGACCGAUCCUGAUGUUUUCGGAUGGAUUUGAGUAAGAGCAUAGCUGUUGGGACCCGAAAGAUGGUGAACUAUGCCUGGAUAGGGUGAAGCCAGAGGAAACUCUGGUGGAGGCUCGCAGCGGUUCUG
rnacentral:rRNA from 1 species